UACACGCGUUCUGCUGAGCGUAAAAUGUGCUAUAUUACGCACUUGUAAGACGGAGACAACACAUGCUGGUAUCACGUCCUCUUAAUAACCAUGGAUUUCCUAGUAAAAAGUCGUGAACUCUGUACAAGUUCACAUGCUUGGGUGAAAAUAGUGAAAAAUAUAUGUAAGUACCUACUCAUUAUUAUUUUUAUAGUUUUAAACAUAAACGCCCAUAUAUUUUCUGAUCAAAUUUUUCUGAACCAACAACGAAACGUAAGUACCUAUUAAGGGUGAGUUUUAUAAAAUUGAUUAAAAUCAGAAUGAAAUGAUUCACAUAUAUUUAUUUAUUUAUUGAAUAAAAUUCCAAUUUUAACAAUAUAUUACAUAAAAACAAAAUGAUCAUUACAACUAAAUAGAGUUGGUCACCUCUAAGCCAAUUGCAUGUACGAAGAUCGGAAGACGAGGGUUCUAAUCAAUCAAUUAAAUUUCUAAUACAUGCAUGAAAAAUUUAAGUUUUAUUUUAAAAAAUAAUGGUUCGUAAUCCUAUAGUAAAUUAAAUUAAAUUAUUAUAAUUAGAUAUUAUAAUAUUAGUGGUUCUUGUUGCUUCAGUUCAUAACUUAUAUAAGAGGGAACGUUUUGGAAUUUGAAAUGCAGUUUUUUAAUAAAUAUUGUACAUGGGUACAAUUAAAUAAUAUAUUACUUGAUAUGAUAUUUAGAGACAUUACGAGGCGAGACUGGAGGCACGUAAUCACAAUCAUUACAAAUUUAAGAUCAGAGGUUCUCAAAAAAAAAAAUAUCUAAAAUGGUAAUAUAUUAAUUUAUUUAUGCGGAAAUUGCGAUAUAAUCUUUCCGAAAAAAAAGAACACGGUGCAAAUAACGUUCUAGGAACACUCUGGCGGAAAACGAAAACCCCCAAUAAUGAUUUCGAGCGUUUAAAAAAAAAUACUUUAUAAGGAUUCUAUAUUUUGAUUUUACAAAUCUAUAUGUAUAUUAUACAUAGGUAGUAUGAACAUGUAACAUGUAACUGACAACUGUAUACAAUCAAUUAUAAAUCGGUCACAGGGGUAACCGAGGAAACAGUGAAUAAUAUCAUAUCAUGUAUGCAUUACAUGGGUGAUUGUUGGUCUUUUUACCGUGAUACUAUCUUUAGGAAAGAUAGGACAGGUCCAAUUUUAGACGGACCGGAAGUGAUGAUGCUCGAAACUACGUACUAACGUGCCUGUUAUCAUUGAUUAUAAUAUAUAUAUUAUAUAAUAUUAGAUACAUAUAUAUAUAUAUAAUAUUGGUAAAAAGUUGUACGUUUGUACAAGUCGACGUAGUUACUCGUUAUGCCGGAAUAUCGCAUCGAAAUGCUCAACGGUUAAACGCUUAAACGCGAACUUCGAAGAUCGAGUGUCGACGUGAAAACUGUUUGAUUGAGAAUAUCCAUAAAUGUAAAUCAUAUUAACGUGGUAUAUAAAAAAAAACAGUUGAUUGAUAAACGUCGAAAAACAUAUUACACAUAUAUUGGCGGGGCGGCGCGGCGGACGUAGAGAAAACGGUUAUCGGCUACAUUUUCCCCUAACAAAUUAAAACUUUUAACUGACCAACGAAAAAUAUCGAGGUUACCCGCGGUUCCUAGAAACAUAAACCACGUGCAGGCAAAAACGGUACAACUGUGGUAUAAAUUCGCUGAGCGGGUAACCAUGGUAUUUUCCGUCGUCUGUCGCGGUCCAUUUAAAAGGAAAACCUUAUCAGCCUUUUUCUCUGCGGCCUGUUCUCUCGAUCAAACAGUCAUCCUGCACUAUUGACUACCUAUUAAGCAUUGUGCACUGUGCAUUCGACUGAAUUUUAACGAAACGAGUCGUAUAGUACGUUAUUUUCCAAGGGCGGCACAUCAAAGUAAGACAGAACCAUGUCGCCUGCAAUAUUAUUCACGUCAUGUUCCUCGUAGGGGUUGACAUUCAUACGCUCCGACGAUCGUUAUUGACGUUGUUUUAGAAAUAACCCUAGAUAUAACUUAAUACUUAUAUUUACAAAUAUACUAUUAUUAUUAUCAGGUAUAAUAUACUCUAUUAUUUACCUAUAACUAAACGUAUAAAAUCCAACUUAAAUCUAGGCGAUAGGUAUAUAGUAUAUAGUAUAUAGUCAGUAGUCACGUCAUACAGAAUUGCACUUUGGAGUUUAGGUAUCGAACAAUUUUACUAUAAAGUUACCCUCAUUAAAUUAGUUAACUAGAUCGAAUAAAUAUUGAAUAUUACUAUUUAUUAUACGAAAUAACUUGUGAACAUUACAUUUAAAGUUUAAAAAACUCAACUAUUUUAAAUAUUAUAAUAUAUAAUAAAGGCGCAAACUGAGAUCAAAAUUGUUUUUUGAGUGACAUGAUUUUUUUAUGAAACACUUGUCGUUGGAGUUAUAAUGCUAUUGUCCUGUACUCCUGUCAAUAUUUUUUUCUUAAUUUUCCUUGACAAUAUUUCAUAUUUAUACCUAUAUAAUGAAUACUAUGUUACAAAUAAACGAAAAACUCGUAUGACGUAUUGAAAUUAUAUAGGUGCAAACACCAAUCUUAUAUAGUUGUAUUAUCUUAUAUGAUUUAUAUUGAUCGUAAUUGCUUACACACUAUAAAACUCUGGUAUUUACAAUGCUGUUCAAAUUACUACCAUAAUUUACUGUGGAUAACCUAUAGCAAUAAUAUACGUUCUUUAGUUCUUAUAAUAAAAAUAAUAUUUUCACUACGCAUUGCCAGUAAAUCGCAGUACAUUGCCAAUUGAAACUUGAAGUACAUUACCAAUGCACCUACCGUUAAGUAAUUUAUUUUAGAAACUAAUAUAACCAUUAAACAUAGUUAGAGGUAGCUUAUAUCCAAAUAUGAAAUAAUAGUUUAAUGGUACACAUUUAUAUUGAGAAUAAAUAAAUAAUUUUGAGUUAGGUAUGUUCAAUUAAAAUGUAUUUUCGUCGACACAAUUAAACACAUUGUAAAAAACAAUGACAAAUUGUCUUUGCACCAUUAAAAUUACGACCAAAUAACCGAAAAUGUAGUCUGUGCCAGUCGUGUCUAGUUGUACACUAGGUAUAACUAUAACGACAGUAUUUUACUGCCUAAUGCCUCUACUAUACACAUAGCCGCUUUUUUAGAAUUGAAUAGUUUCUAAGAAAUUAGACAUGUUUUUGUUUACUUUUUUAUGUACGGCGUUAAAAAGAUUAGAUUACGAGGUCUUAUCAGCCUCUUAAACACUAAAACACGUCUAAAACCUUAUCGGCGUAAAUGCCGCCGCUGCGCUAUCGCUGCCACACGCUGACUUCGCGUUCACCUUUACCGCUCAACGCAUAGCCGCGUAUAACUUUGUCUACCCACAUAUAUAGUUUUUAGUCCACGGAGAUAAUUUGCUCUUAAAUUCCUAAAAACUUCAAAUUCAACAAUUUACAAUUUAUUGUUCUGUAAAACGAAUACAAGUACUUUCUGCAUAACACAAUAUAAUCUAUACAAUAUGAACACUCGUAAGAAUACAGGAUAUUUAAUGGCGUUUAGAGAUGAAAUUAUGUUGAGAAACACAUUUGCAAUGCGUAUAUAUUUGAUCCACAUGGGCGCGCACAUUAAUGUAUUAAUUAUUAUACAGCGCCUGCAUACAGACGUCUAUAAAAAAUGUCUCAUUAGCUGUUUAACAUUUGAUACGGUUCAAAAAACCGUGCACAUAUGUUGUCAAACACAUUCAGUACAUCACGUGUUAUUUUUGUGACGGGAUAAAAAAUUAUUUAACAUCUUUAAUAUAAAAAAAAAUUUAAAACCAUAUUUGAUAU